GAUGAACGCUGGCGGCGUGCCUAAUACAUGCAAGUCGAGCGAAUGGAUUAAGAGCGUGCUCUUAUGAAGUUAGCGGCGGACGGGUGAGUAACACGUGGGUAACCUGCCCAUAAGACUGGGAUAACUCCGGGAAACCGGGGCUAAUACCGGAUAACAUUUUGAACCGCAUGGUUCGACAUUGAAAGGCGGCUUCGGCUGGCACUUAUGGAUGGACUCGCGUCGCAUUAGCUAGUUGGUGAGGUAACGGCUCACCAAUGCAACGAUGCGUAGCCAGCCUGAGGGGGUGAACGGCCACAAUGGGACUGAGACACGGCCCAGACUCCUACGGGAGGCAGCAGUAGGGAAUCUUCCGCAAUGGACGAAAGUCUGACGGAGCAACGCCGCGUGAGUGAUGAAGGCUUUCGGGUCGUAAAACUCUGUUGUUAGGGAAGAACAAGUGCUAGUUGAAUAAGCUGGCACCUUGACGGUACCUAACCAGAAAGCCACGGCUAACUACGUGCCAGCCGCCGCGGUAA
rnacentral:rRNA from 1 species